GGGGAAUUUUGGACAAUGGGCGCAAGCCUGAUCCAGCCAUGCCGCGUGCGGGAAGAAGGCCUUCGGGUUGUAAACCGCUUUUGUCAGGGAAGAAAUCUUCUGGGUUAAUACCUCGGGAGGAUGACGGUACCUGAAGAAUAAGCACCGGCUAACUACGUGCCAGCAGCCGCGGUAAUACGUAGGGUGCAAGCGUUAAUCGGAAUUACUGGGCGUAAAGCGUGCGCAGGCGGUCUUGCAAGACAGGUGUGAAAUCCCCGGGCUUAACCUGGGAACUGCACUUGUGACUGCAAGGCUGGAGUACGGCAGAGGGGGAUGGAAUUCCGCGUGUAGCAGUGAAAUGCGUAGAUAUGCGGAGGAACACCGAUGGCGAAGGCAGCCUCCUGGGAUAACACUGACGCUCAUGCACGAAAGCGUGGGGAGCAAA
rnacentral:rRNA from 1 species